GAUGAACGCUGGCGGCGUGCUUAACACAUGCAAGUCGAACGGUGAAGCUCAGCUUGCUGGGUGGAUCAGUGGCGAACGGGUGAGUAACACGUGAGCAACCUGCCCCUGACUCUGGGAUAAGCGCUGGAAACGGUGUCUAAUACUGGAUAUGUACCACGAUCGCAUGGUCUGUGGUUGGAAAGAUUUUUCGGUUGGGGAUGGGCUCGCGGCCUAUCAGCUUGUUGGUGAGGUAAUGGCUCACCAAGGCGUCGACGGGUAGCCGGCCUGAGAGGGUGACCGGCCACACUGGGACUGAGACACGGCCCAGACUCCUACGGGAGGCAGCAGUGGGGAAUAUUGGACAAUGGGCGGAAGCCUGAUCCAGCAACGCCGCGUGAGGGAUGACGGCCUUCGGGUUGUAAACCUCUUUCAUCUAUGACGAAGGCUCUGCUUUUUGGUGGGGUUGACGGUAAUGGGAGAAGAAGCACCGGCCAACUACGUGCCAGCCGCCGCAGUAAC
rnacentral:rRNA from 1 species